GACGAACGCUGGCGGCGUGCUUAACACAUGCAAGUCGAACGGAAAGGCCCUGCUUUUGUGGGGUGCUCGCGUGGCGAACGGGUGAGUAACACGUGAGUAACCUGCCCUUGACUUUGGGAUAACUUCAGGAAACUGGGGCUAAUACCGGAUAGGAGCUCCUGCUGCAUGGUGGGGGUUGGAAAGUUUCGGCGGUUGGGGAUGGACUCGCGGCUUAUCAGCUUGUUGGUUGGGUAGUGGCUUACCAAGGCUUUGACGGGUAGCCGGCCUGAGAGGGUGACCGGCCACAUUGGGACUGAGAUACGGCCCAGACUCCUACGGGAGGCAGCAGUGGGGAAUAUUGCACAAUGGGCGGAAGCCUGAUGCAGCAACGCCGCGUGCGGGAUGACGGCCUUCGGGUUGUAAACCGCUUUCGCCUGUGACGAAGCGUGAGUGACGGUAAUGGGUAAAGAAGCACCGGCUAACUACGUG
rnacentral:rRNA from 1 species